rnacentral:rRNA from 1 species
UACGGAGGGUGCAAGCGUUAUCCGGAUUCACUGGGUUUAAAGGGUGCGUAGGUGGGCAAGUAAGUCAGUGGUGAAAUCUCCGGGCUUAACCCGGAAACUGCCAUUGAUACUAUUUGUCUUGAAUACUGUGGAGGUCAGCGGAAUAUGUCAUGUAGCGGUGAAAUGCUUAGAUAUGACAUAGAACACCAAUUGCGAAGGCAGCUCACUACACAAUCAUUGACUCUGAGGCACGAAAGCGUGGGGAUCAAACAGG